rnacentral:lncRNA from 1 species
AUGAUAAAAAUACUUAAUCAUGCAGUAAACAACCUCUACAUACAUGGAUUAAAUUUUCUCAAAAUAAACAACCAAAGCCGGAUAUAUCAAUCUCAAUUUAAUCACGAGUUUAUAUGGUUUUACCUCGGUUAAUUUCGACUAAAUUAUGGUCACAGAAUCGUAUGAAAUAAGACAGGAGAUGAAUUCCUUGACCAUAUUUAACACAGUAUCUUUCAUGAUCACCAAAAACAAAAAAAAUAAACAAAAAAAUAAAUACAGCAUUAGAUCGAGAAGCAUGGCAUCAAUGAGAAAUUACAAAUCGUAGACCUGCUUGCCGGUGAACUUGACCUCGAUGGGGCUGGCGUUCUUCCCGAUGGACCGGAGGUUCAGGCCAACGCCGGUGCGCCCGGCGUUGACCUUCUCCGGGUAUACCCCAUCCUUGGGGUGCAGAUACUGCACCUCGCCGUUGGGGAAUACCCGGUAGAACUGGUACUUGAUCUUGUACUUGGACCGGAGGCGGGUGCCGAGGGCGAGGCACUGCUCCUUCCGGGCCAGCUUCAGCAGGUUCGGGCCCUGCCGCAUGAUGGCGGCGCCGCCCGUCGGCAUCUCGAACACCUGCUCCUUGGGGGAGUCCCACGUGAUCACGUAGAACUCCUCCACCUGCGCCUUGCGCAGGAGCCCGCCCGUGCUGCCCCCGAAGAUCGGGGACGGCGUGUUCGGGUCCAGCUCCGGCGGGGUGAACCCCGCCGGGGCUGCGGGCGCCUCCUUGGUCGGGGCCUCCUCCGCCAUCGCGCGGAUGGGGCCCCGAGCUAGGGUUUUGGAGGGCUUGAGGGAUGGGAAGUGGGCGAGGGACUGCUUCCACGGGGCCGCCACGGCGGAUUUCGGGACGGCGGCGGCGGAGAAGAGGGAGGCUUGCGUUGCCAUUGCCAUGGAUUCUCUUUUGGGUGGUGGAAAUGGAAUUGGAAUUGGAGGGUGGAAUAAUAUUUGAUGAGAAAUAAUGUUUGGGAGAUUUGGAUAUUGGGAUAAGGUGAUAUGGGUGAGACCAAUUAGAUUGUGUGAUUUUGAUACCAAGCCUUACCCUUACCCCUUGCUUUGUGGUGCCAUCUGUAUUUAUUUGGAUUUCCUAUUUUAUUUUUAUUUUUUUUGUAAUAUCUCACACUUCAUAUUUGGUCUUGUUUGACCUUCUUGUAACUAAUAAGUUCGAUAUGCCAUUUCGAAAAUACCUCCACUUAAUUCUUCAUAUAAUUAACCAUAAUACAUUACAUCUCCUUCUAUUAUUAUUGUUAAUAAAUGAUAUUUUAGAAAAUUAUGAUAUCUUAUGUGCAUGAAUAAUAUAAAAAUAAGUAAUGAGUAAUAUAAUACGAUUAGUAAUAGAAGAUCUAAUGUACUAUUACUUUAAAAACAUAGUCAUCUGAUGAGGGUGAAAUUUAGCGUAACAAGAAUUAUAUUAGAUGUUGAGUUGGCUCCGACUCUCUAUGCGAUGAUUUCUGGGAAGCUUUUGUUCAUGCUAAAAAUAAUGUGGUUUUGGAGUUUUUUCAUGCUCGUUGGGAGGUUAGUAGGGCCGCUCACGAGUUGGCUUCUUAUGCUUUGUUUUUGUCGGAUGUAAUGAUCUAAAAUACGGGUUUUUCAACCUGGCUUCUAGAUAUUGCUCUUUCUGAUCGUUCUUAAUAUUAAGCUCCGUUUCCCUUCAAAAAGAAAAAGAAUUAGAUGUUGAGCUUAAAACUCAACUCAACAUUAAGUAUAUAUAAUAUAAUAAACUUAUAUUCAAAUUUGUUGCUAAAAUUUGAGCUUUAAUAUAGUUAUUCCUUAUUAUCAAAUAAUCAAUCCUAAUAACUAAUUAUUAACUAAAACACAAGAGAUUAAAAUUAACGAAUACAAUUAUAAAAAAAAUUCGAUAUGAAUGAAACACUAGAAAGUAUAGAAUCUUAUAAGUAAUAAAUAAGGGGCAAUAAACACACAAUUGAAUAGUCGAGGUAACGUCCCUAAGGGGACACCAAGCGGUGCGAACUCUUGUAUGCGAACAAUGAGGUCUAGAGUUCAAAUCUCACCGUUCCCCCAAGUAAAAAAAAAAGUCGAGGUGACUGUUUGUACAUUUAUAUAUCUCAAUAAUAUUCAAAAUCGACUCAUUACAAGAAAAUCAUAUCACAAAAAUAACUACAAUCUCAAUCUUCUACUCGAUAAUCGACUCAUUACAAGAAAAUCAUAUCACAAAAAUAACUACAAUCUCAUAUCACAAAAAUAACUACAAUCUCAAUCUUCGACUCGAUGCAUACAUCUUUUCUAUUCAAAUAGAUACACUAUUUGGAAUUCCUUUCACAAUAAGUCCUCCUUUUUUGGAAUAAUCCGAAGUGUUGGGAUACAACAGCAUGUAAUCCAUCUUAACCGGCCCGGUUCGGUUCUUCAAUUCCGUGUUCCGGUUCAUCUCCUUUAUUCUAUCCCCAAUCCCAACCAAUGCCGCGCUGAACCGCUCGAAUGCCCGAACCGGUUCUUCGUCCCCGGUCCAAUACGGCGUCUCCCUCUGUCCAAGAUAAAUCUCGUCGGACGAAUGCCUCGACAGCAUCUCGAUCAGCGACACCCCAAGCAGCGUUUGGAACUGAGCCGUGAUCGUUUUCAGAAACGCAGCCUCUUGAUCCUCCUCCAGCUCGACGUACUCUGGGCUACCCGGUUCAGGCAUGAACCGCCGGCUCACAGUGGGCCGGUUUGGGAGAUAACCGGCAUAAGCGUACUGGCCGAAGUUCACCGCGGCGUGGAGGGCCGACGCUACCCAUAUGAUUAUGGUGCAGCACUCGAUGAGCUCGAGCCGGGUCUCCAUUUUCGGCCACCACGGCUUCUCCUUUAAGUCGCCGUGGCCGACCUCGCGGAGCUCCUUCCACCAGGACUGAAGCUCCACGUCUCCGGUCACCUUAUCGUCGGUCGGGUAGUACAAAGAGCAGUACUCCGUCACCCAAUGCUCGAUCGCGGACCAUAUUUCUAGGCCGUCCACUGCAUAGGGGUAGUCUUCUAUCACGAGCCGGAGGCCGUGCGGCUCGCUCGUAUCGGGAACCGCCACCCCUCUGCAAAAAAAUGUCAAUAAUGAAACGUUUAUUUUUCAUGAUUGAGUAUUUUAUUCUUAUUAGUAGAAACUCUCCUAUUUUUGAAUAAAAUUUAAAUUAAACAAAAAUAACUCAAAUGAUAAAAAUUAUCGCGUUAGAAUGUAAUGGUUUUCCACUGUAUACCACAUCACACAUGGCUAGUUUCCUAGCAAGCAAAAGUGUUUUCCCUCUCUUCUCUCUUUCUUUCCCACUUUAACUUUCUCGGUAACCAUUCUUCUUCAUCCAUGUCAUUAAACUCCGUUUGACUUCCUAUUAUACCCUGAUAAUAUAAUCCAUUCGUCUAAGAAACAACUUCUUAAUUUUUCAUUUUCGUUGGUUCAUAAAACAUCUUUUUCAUCCAUUUUCUAAAAUAACACUAAUAACUAUCAUCCUUACAAUUUUCAUAUAUUUACACACGUUGCCUAUUUGCCACUAAUUGAACAUCAUACUUUUCUAAUUUGUGCGACCCUUCUCCAAGCACAAUUAAAAUGCACAAUUUAUUUUUCUUAAAAUCCGUAUCCACUCCCCAUAGAAAAAUAUUUUGGUGCACGGAAGGAGUAACAAAAUUAAAAUGCAUCGAUUUAAACAACAGAUCAAUCUUACUAUUUUUAUCUAUUUAGUACCUUUUGACGAGGUCCCGGGGGAGCGCCUGGUCGGGGAAAUUCCAGUUCCUGUAGACGGCGGAGGACAUUUCCAAGGCGUAUCUUCCCGGGAAGACCGUCGUCUCGAGUAUUCCGCCGGCGUUGAUGAGCGUGUGGCGGGCCAAGGCGUUGAUGUGGAUCGUGUCGCGGAAGUGCGGCUUCAGGAGCUUGUAGAUCGGGUGGAGCCCGCUCAGCUGCCUGUUGGUUGCUAUCGCGAACGGCUCUAUCACGGCGUGCGUGUUCAACCUACAAUUUAUUUUUUAAUUUAUUUUUUAAUUUUUUUUCAAAUUUGGACUUGAUUAUGUGAUGAAGGGAAGAGUGAUAGAUUUACCAGUGGCUAAUGAGUUGGUGGUAGCCGGAAUCGUUGACGGCGGCGUAGGCUUUCGCCAGCUGCCAAAUCAUGGCCUCGACGCCGUCUCCGUCGCGCGGAGUGAACACUCUGUUCACGGCUCCGCACGAGUCCCCGUCGUCGUGCGGCAAGCUGAGCUCGAUGGCGAGUGGCCUCAACGUGCCGUCGUCUUGGAGGAGAAGGAGGGUUCGGGUGGCGUAGGUCUUCGUCGCCGUCGUGUUGAUCCGCCGCAGGUACGGCAUCAGCGCGUCGUGGUGAUCGAGUAUGAACAGCUUCUUCUUCUCUAUUGCCUGCAUUUUGCAUCAAUGGUUAAACACACCAAAUUUUUCUGUGUGCGUGUGUUGGUCUAGUUAUCGCGAAAUUGAUGUCUGAGAUCAAAUGUCUCGUGUUCGAAUUCUGAGAUCAAAUGUCUCGUGUUCGAAUUCACCGUGGCACGAUCUGAGAAGCGGUCUUAUACCUCUUCGACGGUGAGGCCGUUCAUGUUUUUCUCGAUGUGCUCUCUUGUGAUGCUACUAUCCUGAUUGCCAUAUUCUUGAGAGUCUAGUUUGCUUCUUGGUGGAAACUCCUGUGAUGUGAGCUAAAAAUCAGAAUCUAAACAAAUUUGGAUUGUUGAUCUUCUCAUAAUCUUAUAUAUAUAGUCAUAAAAUGAAAGGUUAAUUGUGUAUAAAAUACAGAGAUUCUCUUCAAAUUUGAAGUUUGGAUGAGUCCAAAAGUUCGUUGGCUAAUAACUUGAUAAUCUAGAGUCCGAUGGGCAAUUCAAAAGUACCGUUGGAAACCUCUUGAUGACAGCUCUCUAAUGAUAUACAUAAUGUUGUGUUUUGGUCACCAAAAUUUGUCGGAAAAAAGAAAAAAUACAGGGUUCAUGACUUCAACUUUAAUGUCAUGAUUUUUUGACCACUUAAUGAGACCAAAAUUAAAAAAAUACAAGUACUAUUAGAAAGAUAACGUCAAGGGCUUUUCAAGGAUAUAUUUGGAUUACCCUUCGAACUCCAGACAAUCAAGUUCUUAGUAAACGAACUUUGGGCUCUGAUUAAAUUCCAAAAAUAAUAAAAAUUAAUGUAUUUUUUUACCCAAAAAAAACAGAGUUGUUUAUUUAUAGACAAUUAACUCUAAAAAGAAAGCAUCGGUUUCGCUACCUCCAGAAUUCGAAUGAUAACAGGGUUGACUCCGGCCAACAUUUCGCGUCCGAACUCCUCAUCCGUUCUCCACGCAGUGUUAUCCGCUGCAUAGGUCCAUCACCAAACUCAUUCGAAUCAAUCUCACAAUCAAUUAAAAUGUCGCAUACCAAACUAAUACUAUAGUCUAAAAUUUAUUAAUUUACCUUCUAUAACUUGAGGGACUGGGAAGUUGAGGAACCUCUCACCAUCGGAGCGAAUGAGCUCUCUAAGCAGCUCCCAUGGAACACAGUCUUUGAUUUUGGCUAAGGAUUUAUCGUCGGGCACCUGAGUCCUCGUCUCGUAGAUGUCCAAGACAUCCUUGAACGUGUCGAAUUCGUUGAAUGUUUUGUCGAACACGGCUUUGAUCUCCGGGACUAGAACUUGCCCUACUGAUUUUAUCGCGUACCCGAUGAAAUCGGAGAAUUUCACUUGGGCGAAUUGUUCGUCUCGUGGGACGUAAAUGUUUAGGUUUAGCAGAAACAGUCUGCUCUCGGUGUUGGGAUCUGCAGUCAUCAUGGUCUGAGUGAGUGAAAAAAAAUCCCCAUUGGUACUAAUGUAGGUCACGUGGAUUGUGAUUACCUUUUUUGUUUGGUGGGCGGCCUGUCCGUGCCCUACGAGGGUAUGGAUAGGCCGACCCACCUAGCACCGGGCGGGCUUGAUCUUCGCCUUUUUCGGGGCUUCCUAGGUCGUUGUAGUAUGCAUAGUCGUACACUCUGUCCCACUCCUUGAGCUCGCCGGUGCCUUUUCCACGAAGGUUGUUUAGCUCUUGCUCUCUAUAAAAGAUUAGAGGUGGCGGCGUUUCCGAUGGUAGGUACGCCUGAUCAACAGGAACAAAAAUAUUUCCUUCUAUGUAAAUUGGGUACGAAAAUUAAGGACAAAAUGUAAAUUGAUUAAAAGUACGUGAUAGAAUUCGCAUAUUUUGAAGAGUUAAAUAUUAUCUUUUAUGAAAAUGAGACAAUAAUAGGGGACAAUUUAAAACGGCAAGUAAGACGUAAAUAUUGAGACAAAGGGAAUAUUAUACUCCACAUAAUGGUUUUAUUACUUGAUAUCUAGCUAGGUGUCUUCAAUACUUAGAAUUUGAGAUAUGGAUAUAAAGUUACAUAACCGAUCACCUAUCCACCGUGGGCAAGAAUAACGUGCCCACCACUAAUGUGACAAUUAUAAUUAAAGUAAGAUAAUUUUAAUUAGAAUAAGAUUUAUUAAUUCUCCUUCCUAAUUAACAUUGCCACAUCAGUGGUGGGCACGUUAUUCUUGCCCACGAUGGGUAGGUGAUCGGUUCUAUAUAAAGUACUUUUGAGAAAGACACGGUCGGAGUCGUAGCGACGCGUAGGAUAAACCCACGAGUCGCAUAUAAAACGGACCGGACCGUGUCCCGGGACAUGUUCCAGUGUGACGGACUUGAGGUAGAUUUGGUUACGGUGUUGAUUCCGGAUAAUAAAAGCCCCGGGAAUCCCGAGGCCCUCGUCCCAGUCGAAUUCGACGUCGUACGACGCCUCGUCUUCGGCCUUAAGUGAAGUCAACUUGGUGAUCCAAUCCACCAAGUAAGCUUCCUUUCCUAGCUUCCCUCUCUUCGGAUUAGCUGCCAAAUAAACACAAUUAGAAAAUAUUCAUUAGUACUCUUACUAAUUAUAUUCGCGUUAUUUUGGGACAGAGGAUCUCAUCUGAGUUUACUAACCCGGGUCGAAGUGUUGAGCACUGACGAGCUGCAAGAUGAUGCCUCUACCGAAGAUCUCGUAAACCCGGUCGACCAAGGACGCGCCUAUAUCGGUGCUGUCCAUCGCGUUCUUCUUCAUCAAGACGACGGAGCCUUUGAUCUUCGAUGAUCUUUCAGUCGCGGGAUCGUCUCGGGAUUUCCCGCACACGGAUCCGAGAAGCUUCUCCAUCACCUCCGAAGAAUCGCAUGGUGGGAAAAUCCCCAUUUUGAGAUGAAAAUUGUGUCACAAACUUUUUUUUUUUUUUUUGAAAUGAAGAUGCAAUGAGUUUGAUUGGGAAAAAUGGGUGGUUUUAUUAUAGAAAGAAUGCAACUGUAGUCUGUAGCAACAUUUAUGGUGUGUUUUCUUGGAAGGUAGAUGAGUCGUCUGAUAUAUGCUUUGGGCCUUUUUCAGAAUUAAUUAAUAUUACAUGCUGUUUUCACGUGGGUAAUCAAAUAGGAAACAUGACAUUUUUUGAAAGUGGGAAAUAUAAUAAUUUGAAUGAUUUUUGUCUUUGUGAAGUGGAAAUUGAUUAGUAAUUUCCAGCCUGGUCGUUGCCAUUGGAGUGUGCUGAUCUGGGUAGGUAUAAGAUUGUAAAGUGUAUAGUUCUUUAGUCUACCCAACUUCUUGUUAGAAAUUAUUUUUUAGGAUUAUAUGUUUGUAUAUUAUCUUACCAAUAUUCACAAGAAUGGUGUUUAUAAAUUAUAAGGUUAACAGUGUUUUAUUUUAUGUCCCGAACUUUCAACGUUUUACAUAAAAUGUCUCAAAUUUUUAUUUCCUCGUAAAUAACUCCGAAGUUUCCACAUUUUCCAUAUAAUAUCCUGUUAUACAAAAUCUGGUGAUGAAAAAAUGACAAAAAGCCCCGAACUUUCAGUGUUUUUCAACAGUAGUGAUUUCUAAUAUGGAUGGUUCCAAAAAUAUUUAAUCCGGCACGAUAAGUCAUCUUUCCGUCACUGAAUUUUGUAUAGCAAGACAUUUUAUAGAAAAAGCUGGAAGUUCUGAGUUUUUUAGGAGAAAAUUAAAUUUCAGAAUAUUUUAUGAAAAACGUUGAAAUUUCGGGACAUAAAACACUAUUAAUUCUAAAUUAUACUAUGUCCUAUUGGGAUAGGUUUAGUCGUAGAAUAUUUUUUCUUAAAUAUCUCAAAUUCAAAUUGCACAAUACCUUAUAUACAUUAAUCGAAUAAAAUAUGAUAUCAUAUUAAAAAAAAUGAUAUCGAUACGCAAAGCUAUACAAAUAAACUCUCAAAGAAUUUUUUUGGUACAAGUGUACUUUUAUUAUUGGCUUAAUACCGAUGUACGUUAUGACUUUUAAUUAUAUAUUUAAUAUUUAAUUACUUGAAUUAAAUACAUAAUUAUUUUAAUUAUUAAAGUAAACCUCUGUUUUACCGAACCGACCCAAUGAUCCGAUCUCACAAACCUCAGUGUGAAAGCGUUUACUUUAUGUCAUUUAUGUGAUUGUUAGAAAUUAGAAUCAUUGAACAAUUAACAAUGAUAUGCUUUUUUAAUUAUUUUUUUGGUUUGCUUAUAAUUUUUAAUUAGCUUUAGAAAAGCUUUCAUGGAUUAUGGGGAGACUUUCAUAUAAAAAACAAUAUAAUCGUGCAGGUCUUUAUAUAUUACUCCUUCCGUCCACCAAUUCAAGGCCUAGGACAAGUGUAAUUUACACUUGCCCUAGGCCUUGAAUUGGUGGACGGAGGGAGUAAAAAAAAAGAGUGUCUAAUAAAUUCAUUUUAGUUUUGAUUGGUCUAGAUAUAUAUUAUAUUGUAUUUUAAAUACCUCAAGAAGCUUCUUACUCUCUUCAUUUUUCAAAAAGUUUAGUCAAACAGCAUAAAUUAAUGGUAAAAUUAAAAUAUACUACAUUUCUACAAGUAGCACAUUAACUACUAUCUCUACCUACUAAUUAAUCACUAAUUAUUGAGGGUGUAUCCAAAUUAAUUAAAUUUUUAAUGUAUUGAUGUCAAGUUGGUUUCUGAAAUACUCAACUGCUCCAACUUUAGAGAUAACGUUGGCAUCAUUUGAUAUUUUUCUUUUGCAUGAUUGUGAGAUCUAACAAGAAAAUUACGAUAAAUGUAAGUGGACAUAUUAGCAACAAGCUAAACACUAGCCCAACUUGCAAAGGCAUCUUCGUAAAGUAUGUUAUCUUGUUUUUUGUUUUAAAUAAUAUUUGUACUAAUAAAUAAUAUAUAUAUAUAUAUAUAUAUUUUAAAGAUUACAAGAGACAUCUAAUAUAUGUAAUGAAAGUGAUAAAGUAUGAGAGAUAAGGUAAUAAUUUAUUACAUUAUUUGGAAAUGUGUCAAGAUUCGUGGGAAGGCCCAAAAAGGAAAACGUGUCAAGAUUCGUGGGACGGAGGGAGUAUAUUUUAAAGAUUACAAGGGACAUCUAAUAUAUAAUUAAAUCAGCAAUCCGCAUGCAGGUGGGACCUCUACACCACACAAAAAAUGGGAAAACAACACAAAAUAUAUUAUCUUAUUGGAAAGUCUUAGCACUACUUUGUAGUUGGCACUACAAACUUUCGAAGAUGCUCAAGUUAAUGUGAUCGCUAAUUAAGUAUCACUACACAAAAAAAAAAAAUCAAGUUAAAUUUAGACACCUAGAAAAUUAAUAUGGAGCCUUCUAAUUAUAUUUUUAAUAGGAAAUAAAAUGUUAUACUAUAUUGAUAAUAUUUAGAAGAACUAUAUUGUAGGUAUGGCUCUCUUUUAUUAAUACUACUUUAAAAGAAUCNAUAUAGUAGUAGACGACUAUAUAUAUAUAUAUAUAUAUAUAUAUAUAUAUAUAUAUAUAUAUAUAUUGAGAUAUUGAAUAUUGAAUAAUUUAGUAUUUUAUUUCUCUAUACAAAUUAAUAUGUAUGUAUGUUAAUAACUUAGUUUUUAUAAAUGUUGUGUUAUAGUAUAUAUCACAUGCGUAAAAUCAAAUCAAAUCUAGACACAUCAAAAUUAGAAAGAGAGAUAGUUUCAAGUUGGACCAACAUUUUUUAGGCUCGAUAUAUUUUUUAUUUGGGCUUAGUUGAUUUUGGACAGGUAGGCCCAAUUCUAUUAUUGACAAGCCCAAAUAUCUACAAUUGUUCAUCAAAAGGUUUAUGAUGUCGAAAAUCAAUUAUGAUUAGCUGAUAAAUUCGAUUACAUAAAUUGUAAUUAUUUUAUCAAUUAAGUUAAAUAAAAGAACAGUGAUUAUAAUUAGAAUAGCACCCUAUCAUAACCAACGACAUAUAAUAACAGAAAAUUAUAGUCAUAUGAAUAAAAAUGUAGAAAUACUAAUCAUUUGUUGUGUUAAAAUGACUUUAUUGCCCUUAGAAAAACUUCAUCGCACACGAAUUAUAACGAUUUAUAUUCCUUUAUACGAUUACAUGAAUCGUAUAAUUCAUGUAACAAUAUUAACUAAACUGUUACACGAUUUUGUGUUGCAAAAUAUAUUGUAUAAAUCAUGUAAAAUAAUGAGGGUGAAACAAUAACAUUGGCUACUAUUUAUAAUUGAGGAGGUCUUACUAUGCAACGGGGUUACACCUACACCUAGAUCAUGAUCCGCACCUUGAUUUGAACUUAUAAUCCGACCCGAAUCGUAUAAAUAACAAUGUUAUGGGUACGAGUCAACCCGAUUACGGUACAACCGAUUGUACACAAGUUUUUGUGUUCAUAAUUUUAUAUAUAUCCUGCUCAUGCUUAGAUCAUAAUUUUAUGAGGUGUUUUUACAUACUCCCAUCGUCUCACAAAAAUAUGAACAUUUUUCAAUUUUGGGGCGUCUCAUAAAAACAUGAAUAUUUUUAUGUUUGUACACUACCUCACCACAACCAUUUGGAGUACUUUUUAUCUCUACUUUUUUUAAAGUAAGACUCAUUUUUCACUCACAAUACAUUUUUAUCUAAUAUUUUUUAAAACCCGUGCCACUUACAAAUGUUCAUGUUUUUGUGAGACGGAGAGAGUAUUUUUUUUCUUUUUAGAAAAAUGAACUGAAUCGAAUAACAUGGAAAACAAAUCAAAUUGAAUAAUUUGAAAAUGACAUCGCAUCAAUCGAAUUUACUAUUCGAAAUCAAAUUAAAUACUGAUUCGAAUAUUAGAAUAUUUUCACGAAUGUAAAUCGAACAUGACAAUAUUCACUUCGAUUCGAUUACAACCCCAGUUACGUAGCAUGACAAAAACCAUAACAACUAAUAAUGUAAUAAAAGAAUACUCAUUCUACCAGGUGGUGAAAUCAAAGCUGUGACACAAUCAAAAAAUAAAUAAAAAAUUGAUCAAGUUCAUAUAGAGAUGCUGUUGGGAAUUCCCUUCCCAGUAAGGCCUCCCUCUCUACUAUAAUCAGAGGUGUUCGGGUACAGCAAGGUGUACUGCACCUCCACCGGCCCAUGCCGGUUCUUCAACGCCCUGUUCCCAUUCCUCUCCCUUAUCCUCCUCUCCACAUCAACCAGCGCCGCCCCAAAUCUCUCAAACGCCGCCGCCGCCUCCUCGCCGCUCCACCCGCCGUCUCUCUGACCGAGAUACACCUCGUCCGUCGAGUGCCUCGACAGUAUCUCGAUCAGAGAGAUCCCGAGCAGCGUCUGCAGCUGCGCAGUGAUGGUCUUCAGGUAGGCCAGCUCGGGCUCCCUCUCCAUCUCGGCGAACUCGGCGCUGCCCGGCUCGGGCAUGAACCGGCGGCUCACGGUGGGGCGGUUCGGGAGAUACCCGGCGUAAGGGUACUGCCCGAAGUUGACGGCGGCGUGGAGGGCCGACGCCACCCAUAUGAUGAUCGUGCAGGACUCGAUCAGCUCGCGCCGCGUCUCCAUUCUCGGCCACCACGGCUUCUCCUUUAAGUCGCCGUGGCCGACCUCGCGGAGCUCCUUCCACCAUGAUUGGAGCUCGGCGUCGCCGGAAACGGCGUCGUCGGUGGGGUAGUAGAUGCAGCAGUAUUCGGUGACCCAGGCUUGGAUUGCGGACCAGAUUUCCAAGCCGUCGACGGCGAAAGGGUAGUCUGGUAUUAGGAGUUUGAGGCCGUGGGGCUGC